AAGUCGUAACAAGGUUUCCGUAGGUGAACCUGCGGAAGGAUCAUUAACACGUAUCCAACGUUAAACCCCCCUGUGAACCUUCAGUGUGCUCUCCCCUUCCGUUAGAAAGAGGCAAUCCCUGGUAAAUCAUCGCCGAACAGUUUUGAUUCAGGGACUUCCCCGCAGGAGGGACGAUCGAGCGCGAGGCAAGUGGCCUGGCAUCCCUCUACUUGUUAGUGUCUGAAAGUGUCACUAGCUCUGCACGGAUGGCGCAGUCACGAUCGCUAGAGGCCAACACGGCCGGCGACCGGGUCACCGGGCUCACGCCCCCUCACUCACCUUUGCAUGAAAACGGGCCUGCGCUUAAUUGUGCGGCCACCAAACUCGAACAACUGUUAACAAUGGAUAUCUUGGUUCUC
rnacentral:misc_RNA from 1 species